ensembl:lncRNA
AGUGGACAUAUUUAUGCAGCGUUCACGUUAGACAGAGAACAGGACAACGGUGGAAACGGCUGUGACGGCUGGAGGGAUCCGUUGCUGCCGAGUCGAACGGGUCACGGCGUCACGGUGUCCUUCUCCCCGGGGACAUUUAUGACAUCGUCUGACACCAGUUACUCUUUAAGCAGCCGGGCCUCCGGCCGGGGACGACCGGGGAACCAACAUCCUUGAGUUAGGACGACACACUGUCCAUUUAGGAGAAGCCACAGACAGGUAAGGCUCCAAUUAGCUUAGCAUAACGAC